AGUGAACGCUGGCGGUAGGCCUAACACAUGCAAGUCGAACGGCAGCACAGUAAGAGCUUGCUCUUACUGGUGGCGAGUGGCGGGCAGGUGAGGAAUACAUCGGAAUCUACUUUUUCGUGGGGGAUAACGUAGGGAAACUUACGCUAAUACCGCAUACGACCUACGGGUGAAAUCAGGGGAUCUUCGGACCUUGCGCGAUUGAAUGAGCCGACGUCGGAUUAGCUAGUUGGCGGGGUAAAGGCACACCAAGGCAACGAUCCGUAGCUGGUCUGAGAGGAUGAUCAGCCACACUGGAACUGAGACACGGUCCAGACUCCUACGGGAGGCAGCAGUGGGGAAUAUUGGGCAAUGGGCGCAAGCCUGAUCCAGCCAUACCGCGUGAGUGAUGAAGGCCUUCGGGUCGUAAAGCUCUUUUGUUGGGAAAGAAAAGCAGCAGGUUAAUACCCCGCUGUUCUGACGGUACCCAAAGAAUAAGCACCGGCUAACUUCGUG
rnacentral:rRNA from 1 species